GUGAGGAAUAUUGCGCAAUGGAGGCAACUCUGACGCAGCCAUGCCGCGUGCAGGAAGAAGGCGCUACGCGUUGUAAACUGCUUUUAACCGGGAAGAAACCCCAGGACGUGUCCUGGGUUGACGGUACCGGAGGAAUAAGCACCGGCUAACUUCGUGCCAGCAGCCGCGGUAAUACGAAGGGUGCAAGCGUUAUCCGGAUUCAUUGGGUUUGAAGGGUGCGUAGGCGGAGCGUUAAGUCAGUGGUGAAAUCCUGCAGCUUAACUGUAGACUUGCCAUUGAUACUGGCGCUCUUGAGUGCGCUUGAAGUGGGCGGAAUGUGCCGUGUAGCGGUGAAAUGCUUAGAUAUGGCACAGAACACCAAUUGCGAAGGCAGCUCACUAAGGCGAUACUGACGCUGAGGCACGAAAGCGUGGGGAUCGAACAGGAUUAGAAACCCGUGUAGUCC
rnacentral:rRNA from 1 species